GUAGUGUUUCAGGUUAGAGAGGUGUAGAAAGUAGUGUUUCAGGUUAGAGAGGUGUAGACAGAAGUGUUUCAGGUUAGAGAGGUGUAGACAGAGUAGUGUUUCGGGUUAGAGAGGUGUAGACAGUAAUGUUUCGGGUUAGAGAGGUGUAGACAGUAGUGUUUCAGGUUAGAGAGGUGUAGACAGAGUAGUGUUUCAGGUUAGAGAAGUGUAGACAGAGUAGUGUUUCAGGUUAGAGAGGUGUAGACAGAGUAGUGUUUCAGGUUAGAGAGGUGUAGAUAGAGUAGUGUUUCGGGUUAGAGAGGUGUAGAUAGUAGUGUUUCAGGUUAGAGAGGUGUAGACAGUAGUGUUUCAGGUUAGAGAGGUGUAGACAGUAGUGUUUCA
rnacentral:lncRNA from 1 species